GGGAAGGGAGAGUAGAGGGUAUCUUUGAGUAUGAGCAGAAGGGAAUAUAGACUUUUUUAGUAACAAAAAGGAAAGGUUUUAGAAGAGAGAAAACUAAAAAGUAAAACUAUUAGAUAAUUACAAGAUGUCUAUAAAUUAAUCUUUCCUCUCUAUUUAUAGAGGAGAUUAAAAAUUCUAUACAAUUGUCUUUUGAAUCCCGAAUAGUGUUUCUGAUAAGGAUUCGGCUUCAAAUGGAUGUGGCUGCUUCCACGUCUCAUCUGUCUUCUUGUAACUUUAACUGCAUGGUCAUGGUUGUUUCCACAUUGCAUGCUUGAAUUAAUGACCGCUUCCAUCACUUGCUUGUGUCAUGGUAGCUUCUGUCAUUGCUUGCAUCAUCAUUGGUUUGAUGAAAUCUUCCACGUUGCAAGACUUUUUAUCUGCACUUGGAUUUCAUCUUUUGUCUUCAUCAUGGAUUUGAUGAUGACUUCCACGUUGCCAAUCUUUGUUGCUAUCUUUAUUGACUUCAACCUUCUUGCAUAUUAUUGAGAUUCAUUUCUUCAAUCUCAUCCAAAUGUAAAGAAUCUGAUGAGAGUCUUGGUGGUGAGUUCCACGUCUCCCAUAUAUUUUUGAUUUUUUCUCUAAUGUGAGAUGGAAAUUCUUCUAUCUCCAUUUCAGCAGUAUUUUUUAACAGCUUCACA
rnacentral:lncRNA from 1 species